rnacentral:rRNA from 1 species
UCGAGAGGCUUCCGCAAUGGGGGAAACCCUGACGGAGCGACGCCGCGUGGGUGAGGAAGGUCUUCGGAUCGUAAAACCCUGUCAGGAGGGACGAAAACCGGAUUGGCUAAUACCCUUUCCGCUUGACGGUACCUCCAGAGGAAGCUCCGGCUAACUCCGUGCCAGCAGCCGCGGUAACACGGAGGGAGCAAACGUUGUUCGGAAUUACUGGGCGUAAAGGGCGUGUAGGCUGUUCUCUAAGUCGGGGGUGAAAUCCAGUGGCUCAACCAUUGGCCUGCCUUCGAAACUGGGGAACUUGAGGCCGUGAGAGGAAAGCGGAAUUCCUGGUGUAUCGGUGAAAUGAGUUGAUAUCAGGAGGAACACCAGUGGCGAAGGCGGCUUUCUGGCGCGGUUCUGACGCUGAGGCGCGAAAGCAUGGGGAGCAAACGGGAUUAGAUACCCCGGUAGUCCAUGCUGUAAACGAUGAGAACUAGGUGUCGGGGGUAUCGACCCCUCGGCGCCGCAGCUAACGCAUUAAG